rnacentral:rRNA from 1 species
UGGUUCGAUCAUGGCUCAGGAUGAACGCUGGCGGCAUGCCUAAUACAUGCAAGUCGAACGGAGUGAAGCCUUCGGGUUUCAUUCAGUGGCGAACGGGUGAGUAAUACGCAGGGAACCUGGCCAUGGCAGGGGGAUACACUCUGGAAACGGAGCAUAAGACCCCAUAGGCAGUAAGGCGGCAUCGCCUUACUGUUAAAGAAAGCUGAAAGGCUUUGGCGAUGGAUGGACCUGCGGUGCAUUAGCUUGUUGGUGAGGCAACGGCUUACCAAGGCGAUGAUGCAUAGCCGGCCUGAGAGGGCGGACGGCCACACUGGGACUGAGACACGGCCCAGACUCCUGCGGGAGGCAGCAGUAGGGAAUUUUCGUCAAUGGGCGCAAGCCUGAACGAGCAAUGCCGCGUGAGUGAGGAAGGUCUUCGGACUGUAAAGCUCUGUUGCCGGGGAAAAAGGGGAAAUGCAGGAAAUGGCAUUUCAUGGAUGGUACCCGGCCAGAAAGCCACGGCUAACUACGUGCCAGCAGCCGCGGUAAUACGUAGGUGGCGAGCGUUAUCCGGAAUGAUUGGGCGUAAAGGGUGCGCAGGCGGUCUGUUAAGUCUGAAGGCAAAGGGAUGAGCUCAACUCAUUUAUGAUUCAGAAACUGGCAGACUUGAGGACAGGAGAGGGCGGUGGAACUCCAUGUGUAGCGGUAAAAUGCGCAGAGAUAUGGAAGAACACCAGUGGCGAAGGCGGCCGCCUGGCCUGUGACUGACGCUGAGGCACGAAAGCGUGGGGAGCAAAUAGGAUUAGAUACCCUAGUAGUCCACGCCGUAAACGAUGAGGAGCAGGUGUUGGGAGUGAAAUCUCAGUGCCGAAGCCAACGCAGUGACUCCUCCGCCUGGGGAGUAUGCACGCAAGUGUGAAACUCAAAGGAAUUGACGGGGGCCCGCACAAGCGGUGGAGUAUGUGGUUUAAUUCGAAGCAACGCGAAGAACCUUACCAGGUUUUGACAUCGGAUGCGAAGGUGCAGAGAUGCGCUGGAGGCUAUCAUCCAGACAGGUGGUGCAUGGUUGUCGUCAGCUCGUGUCGUGAGAUGUUCAGUUAAGUCUGGCAACGAGCGCAACCCCCGUGGUAUGUUACUAACGCUUAGGGCGAGGACUCAUAUCAGACUGCCGGUGACAAACCGGAGGAAGGCGGGGAUGACGUCAAAUCAUCAUGCCCCUUAUGACCUGGGCUACACACGUACUACAAUGGCGUCUACAGAGGGAAGCGACCCUGAGAAGGGAAGCGAAACCGGAAAAGGGCGUCCCAGUUCGGAUUGAAGUCUGCAACCCGACUUCAUGAAGAUGGAAUCGCUAGUAAUCGCGGAUCAGCAUGCCGCGGUGAAUACGUUCCCGGGCCUUGUACACACCGCCCGUCAAACCAUGGAAGCCGGCAACGCCCGAAGCCGGUGGCAUAACCUUUUAGGAGUGAGCCGUCGAAGGCGGGGCCGAUGACUGGGGUUAAGUCGUAAAAAGGUAUCC